rnacentral:rRNA from 1 species
CGGGAGACAGGUGGUGCAUGGUUGUCGUCAGCUCGUGUCGUGAGAUGUUGGGUUAAGUCCCGCAACGAGCGCAACCCUCAUCUGCAGUAGCCAGCAUUUNGGAUGGGCACUCUGCAGAGACCGCCGGGGAUAACCCGGAGGAGGAUGGGGAUGACGUCAAAUCAUCAUGCCCCUUAUGGUCUGGGCUACACACGUGCUACAAUGGCGCCGACAAAGGGAAGCGAGAGGGUGAGCUUAAGCAAAACACAAAAACAGCGUCUCAGUUCGGAUUGUAGUCUGCAACCCGACUACAUGAAGCCGGAAUCGCUAGUAAUCGCAGAUCAUCAUGCUGCGGUGAAUACGUUCCCGGGUCUG